GUUGAAAAUAUGCCGCACAGCCCUAUAUUUUGACCUUUGAAAAACAUUGUGGUGCAUAUGAACUUUCAAUUCUAGGAUAAGUUUUUUUUCAAAACUUCAUAGUAAAAGUGGUACAGUUUUAGCCGUAAAAGGAGUUCCUAUGGGAAAUUACAUUGUCAAUAUUUACAGAAAUACAACCUAUAUAGGGUGAAAAAGGGGAAC
rnacentral:lncRNA from 1 species